rnacentral:rRNA from 1 species
AACGUAGGAGGCAAGCGUUAUCCGGAGUUACUGGGCGUAAAGAGUGCGUAGGCGGAUCUGUAAGUGGGUGGUGAAAGCGCCCGGCUAAACCGGGCGAGGUCCAUUCAGACUGCAGGUCUAGAGGCGGAUAGAGGGGUGCGGAAUUCCGGGUGUAGCGGUGAAAUGUGUAGAGAUCCGGAGGAACACCAGUGGUGCAAACGGCGCCCUGGGUCCGAACUGACGCUGAAGCACGAAAGCGCGGGGAGCGAACGGG